rnacentral:rRNA from 1 species
UACAGAGGUCUCAAGCGUUGUUCGGAUUCAUUGGGCGUAAAGGGUUCGUAGGUGGCGUCGUAAGUCGGGUGUGAAAUCUCGGGGCUUAACUCCGAAACUGCAUUCGAUACUGCGGUGCUUGAGGACUGGAGAGGAGACUGGAAUUUACGGUGUAGCAGUGAAAUGCGUAGAGAUCGUAAGGAAGACCAGUGGCGAAGGCGGGUCUCUGGACAGUUCCUGACACUGAGGCACGAAGGCCAGGGGAGCAAACGGG